AACUGAUUGCGAAGGGGAUUAUCCCCGAAGAGUAUAUAUGAU
rnacentral:guide_RNA from 1 species